rnacentral:rRNA from 1 species
AGUGGCGCACGGGUGAGUAACACGUAGGUAAUCUACCUUUGGAUUGGGAAUAACCACGGGAAACUGUGGCUAAUACCGAAUAAUGCAGCGGCACCUAAUGGUGACAGUUGUUAAAGCGGGGGAUCGCAAGACCUCGCGUCUGAAGAGGAGCCUGCGGCAGAUUAGCUAGUUGGUAAGGUAACGGCUUACCAAGGCUAUGAUCUGUAGCCGGCCUGAGAGGGCGGUCGGCCACACUGACACUGACAUACGGGUCAGACUCCUACGGGAGGCAGCAGUCGGGAAUUUUGGGCAAUGGGCGAAAGCCUGACCCAGCAACGCCGCGUGAAGGAUGAAAUCCUUCGGGAUGUAAACUUCGCAAGAACGGGAAGAAUAAGUAAGAGUUAAUAUCUCUUAUGAUGACGGUACUGUUUGUAAGCUCCGGCUAACUCCGUGCCAGCAGCCGCGGUAAUACGGGGGGAGCAAGCGUUGUUCGGAUUUACUGGGCGUAAAGGGCGGGUAGGCGGCCACUGCAAGUCGGUUGUGAAAUCUCCGGGCUUAACCCGGAAAGGUCAAUCGAUACUGCAGGGCUAGAGUGCAGAAGGGGCAACUGGAAUUCUCGGUGUAGCGGUGAAAUGCGUAGAUAUCGAGAGGAACACCUGCGGCGAAGGCGGGUUGCUGGGCUGACACUGACGCUGAACUGCGAAAGCUAGGGGAGCGAACGGGAUUAGAUACCCCGGUAGUUCUAGCCUUAAACGAUGAAUGCUUGGUGUCUGGGGUUUUAUAGUCCCCGGGUGCCGUCGCUAACGCUUUAAGCAUUCCGCCUGGGGAGUACGGUCGCAAGACUGAAACUCAAAGGAAUUGACGGGGACCCGCACAAGCGGUGGAGCAUGUGGUUUAAUUCGACGCAACGCGAAGAACCUUACCUGGGCUAGAAUGCCUCUGACAACCCUAGAGAUAGGGCCUUCUGGGUAAGACCAGACAGAGUGCAAGGUGCUGCAUGGCUGUCGUCAGCUCGUGUCGUGAGAUGUUGGGUUAAGUCCCGCAACGAGCGCAACCCUUAUCAAUAGUUGCCAGCGGUUCGGCCGGGCACU